ACGGAAGGCAGCAGUGGGGAAUAUUGCACAAUGGGCGAAAGCCUGAUGCAGCGACGCCGCGUGAGUGAAGAAGUAUCUCGGUAUGUAAAGCUCUAUCAGCAGGGAAGAAAAUGACGGUACCUGACUAAGAAGCCCCGGCUAACUACGUGCCAGCAGCCGCGGUAAUACGUAGGGGGCAAGCGUUAUCCGGAUUUACUGGGUGUAAAGGGAGCGUAGACGGUUUGGCAAGUCUGAAGUGAAAUGCGGGGGCUCAACUCCUGAACUGCUUUGGAAACUGUCGAACUAGAGUGCAGGAGAGGUAAGUGGAAUUCCUAGUGUAGCGGUGAAAUGAGUAGAUAUUAGGAGGAACACCAGUGGCGAAGGCGGCUUACUGGACUGUAACUGACGUUGAGGCUCGAAAGCGUGGGGAGCAAACAGGAUUAGAUACCCUGGUA
rnacentral:rRNA from 1 species